AGUGAACGCUGGCGGUAGGCCUAACACAUGCAAGUCGAACGGCAGCACAGUAAGAGCUUGCUCUUACGGGUGGCGAGUGGCGGACGGGUGAGGAAUACAUCGGAAUCUACUUUUUCGUGGGUGAUAACGUAGGGAAACUUACGCUAAUACCGCAUACGACCUACGGGUGAAAGCAGGGGAUCUUCGGACCUUUCGCGAUUGAAUGAGCCGAUGUCGGAUUAGCUAGUUGGCGGGGUAAAGGCCCACCAAGGCGACGAUCCGUAGCUGGUCUGAGAGGAUGAUCAGCCACACUGGAACUGAGACACGGUCCAGACUCCUACGGGAGGCAGCAGUGGGGAAUAUUGGACAAUGGGCGCAAGCCUGAUGCAGCCAUACCGCGUGGGUGAAGAAGGCCUUCGGGUUGUAAAGCCCUUUUGUUGGGAAAGAAAAGCAGCAGGUUAAUACCCCGCUGUUCUGACGGUACCCAAAGAAUAAGCACCGGCUAACUUCGUG
rnacentral:rRNA from 1 species